GUUCACAUUAUUUUUAAAAAGUGAUGGGCUCCCAUAUUGGCAGAGGCAUUGAGGCACUCAGCAGGGUCAACUGGGACAGUGCUUCUGAGCAAAGUGCGUUGGCCCAUUUCUUGGGUAAAUCACUGGGGAGGCUUGAAAGCACAGAGGUGGAGACUUAAGACAAUGCACUCUGUAGCCAUGCUCUCUGGAUUUGAAUCCCAGAUUUGCCUCUUAGUAACCCUAUGACCUUGCCUGCUAGCAGAGAUGAAUAAGGCUGAAGAAGCAAGUCCCUGGAGAGAAAGGAAGAGAUGAGAGAGACCCCCAAGUUGUGUGAUCACCUCCAGCACACUGGAGACUGAGCCGUUUCACAAGAUCAUUCAUUCUAGGAGAGACCUUGGGAGGAGAAGUCAUGAGGACAGUCAACCAGCUCUUUGAAGAAGUCCACAUGCUGAGAAACUGAGGCCUCCUGCCAACAGCCUUGUGAGUGAAUCAUCUUGGAGGUGGAUCCUCCAGCACCUGUAAAACCUUCAGAUGACCACAGAUCUGGCUGACAUUUUGACCUCAAUGUUAUGAAAAAUCUUGAGGCAGAAGCACCCAGCUAAGCCAAUCCUGUAUUCUUCACCUACAGAAACUAUGAGCUAGUCUUCAAUCUGGUCUGGAGUUCAAGCCCUGCCUCUGGAGUCAUGUCCCACCUCCUACUUCACCAGUACCUGCCCUCUCCUCCUGAUUAGUGUAAGGUUAGCUCAUUUUAGAGUCUAUACCACUGGGAGGGCAGAGGAAAUGUGCCAGAUUCACCAUUUAUUGUUUUGUAAUAUGAGGUAGCUAAAUGCUUUCACUCUACAAUGAAAACUCCUUAGAUUAGUCAAUUAGGAUUCAUCCAUGAACCAAGAAGGUGAGUCUAUUUUUUUUUUGCCUUCUUUUGCAGAAUAACUCUGACAUUAAUGGAGAAGAGGAACAGAAAGUGUGCUAGGACCUGUUAGCACACUUUCUGCUAGCAUAUCAUAUCUGUUUUUUAUAAAAAACACAUUGUCUUACACUUAACAUUUUCAUUUAUAUUAGUUCUAUAAUUCCUCCCCAAAAGAUUAUGAAGGAGGUAUAAUUAGCUCCAUUUUUUGGAUGAAGAAACUGAAUAGAACUUGAGCACAGCCUAAUUUAAUGCUUUUUCCUCUAAUCUACACUGUCCAAAAUGAUAGUCACUAGGCACAUGUGGCUAGUAAGCAUGUGAACUUAUAGCACACUUAAGCACUUGAACUUACAUGUAGCUCAUAAGCACUUGAAUUUACAUGUGGCUAGUAAGCACUGGAAAUGUACUGAAUUGACAUGUGCUAUAAAUAGUAUAAAAUCCACAUAGGAUUUCAAAGAUAGUAUGAGAAAAAUAAUGUCAAAUAUUUUCUUAAAUUUUACACUGAUUACACAUCGAAAUGAUAUUUUGAACGUGUUCAUAUUGUUAAAAUUGAUUCCAUCUGUUUCUUUUUACUUAAAUUUUUUAAAAUUGUAAAUUAUUAUUAUGAGUACAUGACAGUUCUUUUUACUUUUAAAUGUGAUAUGGUUACUAUAAAACGUGAAAUUAUACGUAUGGCUUGCAUUUGUGUCCCAGGUUAUAGUUCUACUGGACAGAAAUGCUCUAAACUAAGGCUGAUAUUUUCAGACUCACAACCUCAAGUUACCCCAAGACAGCCCUCAUAUCAUCUCAGGGUCGCUAGGAGGGGAGAAAAAAAUAUAACAGAUUGUAUAAUUGAUAACCCCCUGUUUUUUAUGUUUUGAUAUUUCAUCACGAAAGGGAAGAAACUGAGCACCCUGGUGAUACUGGGGCAGAAGGAUCAGAUGCUAUCCAAUAUCCCGGUGACUUUCUUUGAAGUAUAAUUUUAUGUCAAAAGGCCUUUCCAAACUUAUUCAGGUGUACAAAGCACUAAGGAAAAGUUCAGACCCCUGAGCCAGAAAACUUCAUUUUCCACAUUAAGAUCAAAGGAGUAUGCGGGAGAGAUGUGGCAUUCCCAGUACUGGGGGUUCUGUUAUAACAGGGUCAGAGAGAGGGCCAGAAAGGGAGGAGAAAAGCAAAAGACUGCCCAGAAAGUCAGCCAGUGAAAGCAAGUGACUCAUGUAUACUUUCAUGUACUCAUUAAUGUAGCAAAUAUCCACUUAUUGUCUGUUAUUCAUUGCCUAAUGUGUCCUCAUUAUCUAUAGGCACUGCUCCAAAUUCUAGGGAUACAGUGGUGACCAAGGAUCAAGGUUUCUGCCCUCUAAGAAUUUGUUUUGUAAAGACAAUAGAGAAUAAUAUACAAUGAAUAAGUAAAUAUGAUAACUUCAGAUUCUACUAGUUAGAUUAUAGGUUGGCUGCUAUAACACAGAGACCCAAAUAGCAAUGGCUUAAGCAAGAGAGAACUUCAUUUCUUUCUCAUGUAUAAUAACAAUCUGCGAGUGAGCAGUCUAGGGUGGGAUUAGCACUCCUAUAGUGUUAGAGACCCAGGUUCCUUCUGUCUUGCUGACCUGCCAGUACUGUAUCUGUGGUUAUCUACAAGGUUCGAGAUGGAUCACCAUCUCAGGCAAGCAGGAAGGGAAAGAGAAAGUGAAGGCCUCUCCUCUUCCUUUUAAGGAUGUGACCUAGAAGUUGCACACAUUGUUUAAUUCACAUCCCA
rnacentral:lncRNA from 10 species